rnacentral:rRNA from 1 species
GUCGCUUAUACCGAUUUCGAGUGGUCCGGUGAGUCCUUAGGAUGCGGUAGCAAUACUGCAGAAUUUGAGCAAACCUUAUCACUUAGAGGAAUAAA